rnacentral:tRNA from 1 species
CAAGAAGUUGUCUACCUUGGAGGAUCAGCUUUGGGUGCUGAUGGUGGGGAAUAGGUCCUUCUUCUUG